rnacentral:rRNA from 1 species
UUUUGGACAAUGGGGGCAAUCCUGAUCCAGCCAUUCCGCGUGAGUGAAGAAGGCCUUCGGGUUGUAAAGCUCUUUUGUCCGGAACGAAACGGUUACAGCGAAUACCUGUGACUACUGACGGUACCGGAAGAAUAAGCACCGGCUAACUACGUGCCAGCAGCCGCGGUAAUACGUAGGUGGCAAGCGUUGUCCGGAUUUACUGGGCGUAAAGGGCGCGCAGGCGGUCUGUUUAGUCUAGGGUGAAAGCUCCCGGCUCAACUGGGAGAGGUCCUUGGAUACUGGCAGACUCGAGGGAUGCAGAGGAAAGUGGAAUUCCCGGUGUAGUGGUGAUAUGCGUAGAUAUCGGGAGGAACACCAGUGGCGAAGGCGGCUUUCUGGGCAUUACCUGACGCUGAGGCGCGAAAGCGUGGGGAGCGAAC